rnacentral:rRNA from 1 species
UACGUAGGGGGCAAGCGUUGUCCGGAUUUAUUGGGCGUAGAGAGCGUGUAGGCGGUCUGGUAGGUCCGCUGUGAAAACUCGAGGCUCAACCUCGAGACGCCGGUGGAAACCAUCAGACUAGAGUCCGGAAGAGGAGAGCGGAAUUCCUGGUGUAGCGGUGAAAUGCGCAGAUAUCAGGAAGAACACCCGUGGCUAAGGCGGCUCUCUAGUACGGUACUGACGCUGAGACGCGAAAGCGUGGGGAGCGAACAGG